rnacentral:rRNA from 1 species
AUUGAACGCUGGCGGCAGGCCUAACACAUGCAAGUCGAGCGGGGUUUUCGGACCUAGCGGCGGACGGGAGAGUAAUGCGUAGGAAGCUGCCCGAUAGAGGGGGAUACCAGUUGGAAACGACUGUUAAUACCGCAUAAUGUCUACGGACCAAAGUGUGGGACCUUCGGGCCACAUGCUAUCGGAUGCACCUACGUGGGAUUAGCUAGUUGGUGAGGUAAUGGCUCACCAAGGCGACGAUCUCUAGCUGGUUUGAGAGGAUGAUCAGCCACACUGGAACUGAGACACGGUCCAGACUCCUACGGGAGGCAGCAGUGGGGAAUAUUGGACAAUGGGCGCAAGCCUGAUCCAGCCAUGCCGCGUGUGUGAAGAAGGCCUUCGGGUUGUAAAGCACUUUCAGCGAGGAGGAAGGGUGGUGUGUUAAUAGCACAUCAUUUUGACGUUACUCGCAGAAGAAGCACCGGCUAACUCUGUGCCAGCCGCCGCCGUAAAAC